GACGAACGCUGGCGGCGUGCCUAAUACAUGCAAGUCGAACGCAGUGGGGACGGGUGAGUAACACGUGGGUAACCUCCCCAUCAGAGGGGAUACCACUUGGAAACAGGUGCUAAAACGAUACUGCUGGAUGGACCCGCGGUGCAUUAUCUAGUUGGUGAGGUAACGGCUCACCAAGUCCCCGAUGCAUAGCCGACCUGAGAGGGGGAGCGGCCACACUGGGACUGAGACACGGCCCAGACUCCUACGGGAGGCAGCAGUAGGGAAUCUUCGGCAAUGGACGAAAGUCUGACCGAGCAACGCAGCGGGAGUGAAGAAGGUUUUCGGAUCGUAAAGCGCUGUUGUUAAGGAAGCGGUACUUAACCAGAAAGGGACGGCUAACUACGUGCCAGCCGCCGCGGUAAUAC
rnacentral:rRNA from 1 species